rnacentral:rRNA from 1 species
GUAGUCCACGCCCUAAACGAUGUCUACUAGUUGUCGGGUUUUAAUUAACUUGGUAACGCAGCUAACGCGUGAAGUAGACCGCCUGGGGAGUACGGUCGCAAGAUUAAAACUCAAAGGAAUUGACGGGGACCCGCACAAGCGGUGGAUGAUGUGGAUUAAUUCGAUGCAACGCGAAAAACCUUACCUACCCUUGACAUGUACGGAAGCCACGAGAGAUCGAGGCGUGCUCGAAAGAGAGCCGUAACACAGGUGCUGCAUGGCUGUCGUCAGCUCGUGUCGUGAGAUGUUGGGUUAAGUCCCGCAACGAGCGCAACCCUUGUCAUUAGUUGCUACGAAAGGGCACUCUAAUGAGACUGCCGGUGACAAACCGGAGGAAGGUGGGGAUGACGUCAAGUCCUCAUGGCCCUUAUGGGUAGGGCUUCACACGUCAUACAAUGGUACAUACAGAGGGCCGCCAACCCGCGAGGGGGAGCUAAUCCCAGAAGGUGUAUCGUAGUCCGGAUUGUAGUCUGCAACUCGACUACAUGAAGUUGGAAUCGCUAGUAAUCGCGGAUCAGCAUGUCGCGAUGAAUA